GGACGGGUGAGUAACACGUGAGUAACCUGCCCUUGACUUUGGGAUAACUUCGGGAAACCGGAGCUAAUACCGGAUAACAUUUGGAACCGCAUGGUUCUAAAGUGAAAGAUGGUUUUGCUAUCACUUAUAGAUGGACCCGCGCCGUAUUAGCUAGUUGGUAAGGUAACGGCUUACCAAGGCGACGAUGCGUAGCCGACCUGAGAGGGUGAACGGCCACACUGGGACUGAGACACGGCCCAGACUCCUACGGGAGGCAGCA
rnacentral:rRNA from 1 species